rfam:Salmo salar isolate Sally breed double haploid chromosome ssa12, whole genome shotgun sequence.
AAUGCACCAAUUUGUAAGUCGCUCUGGAUAAGAGCGUCUGAUAAAUGACUUAAA